rnacentral:misc_RNA from 1 species
CCAAACUUGGUCAUUUAGAGGAAGUAAAAGUCGUAACAAGGUUUCCGUAGGUGAACCUGCGGAAGGAUCAUUAGUGAAUUUAACAAGUGUGGGUUGUUGCUGGCCAUUCAAGGCAUGUGCACACCUGCCAUUUGUUUCUUCAUUUACCCACCUGUGCACCUUAUGUAGGCUACAUUCAUCAUAUUUCAGGCUUUCAUGCCUGGCAUUGGGGGAUAUGCAUAGCUUUUCUGGCUUUGCUUUCCUUGGAUGAGUGUGUCAUAAGCCUAUGUUUUUCAUCAACACCAAUUGUAUGUUUUGAAUGUAUCUUAUAGGCUUUUAUGCCUCUAAAUUAUACAACUUUCAACAACGGAUCUCUUGGCUCUCGCAUCGAUGAAGAACGCAGC